CGGGGAGUAGCUCAGCUUGGUAGAGCGCCUGCUUUGGGAGCAGGAGGUCGCAGGUUCAAAUCCUGUCUCCCCGA
rnacentral:tRNA from 1 species